CGGCAGGCCUAACACAUGCAAGUCGAACGGAACCGUUCGGGUUUAGUGGCGAACGGGUGAGUAAUGCCUAGGAAUCUGCCUAUUAGUGGGGAUAACGAAUCGAAAGGUUCGCUAAUACCGCAUACGUCCUACGGGAGAAAGAGGGGAUCUUCGGACCUCUUGCUAAUAGAUGAGCCUAGGUCGGAUUAGCUAGUUGGUGAGGUAAAGGCUCACCAAGGCGACGAUCUGUAGCUGGUCUGAGAGGAUGGCCAGCCACACUGGAACUGAGACACGGUCCAGACUCCUACGGGAGGCAGCAGUGGGGAAUAUUGGACAAUGGGCGCAAGCCUGAUCCAGCCAUGCCGCGUGUGUGAAGAAGGCCCUCGGGUUGUAAAGCACUUUAAGCGAGGAGGAAGGUCAUCAUACUAAUAUUAUGAUGAAUUGACGUUACUCGCAGAAUAAGCACCGGCUAACUCUGUGCCAGCAGCCGCGGUAAUACAGAGGGUGCAAGCGUUAAUCGGAAUUACUGGGC
rnacentral:rRNA from 1 species